GACGAACCGUGCGAACGUUGUUCGGAUUCACUGGGCUUAAAGGGCGCGUAGGCGGGCCCGCAAGUCAGGGGUGAAAUCCCACGGCUCAACCGUGGAAGUGCCUUUGAUACUGCGGGUCUGGAGGGAGGUAGGGGCGUGCGGAACUUCCGGUGGAGCGGUGAAAUGCGUAGAUAUCGGAAGGAACACCGGUGGCGAAAGCGGCGCGCUGGACCUCUACUGACGCUGAGGCGCGAAAGCCAGGGGAGCAAACGGG
rnacentral:rRNA from 1 species